GUCUUAGCUACGGCUAGACAUAUACUAAAAUUGGAACGAUACAGAGAAGAUUAGCAUGGCCCCUGCGCAAAAAAUGCACUAGAAGAAUCAAUUUUCU